AGGUGGUGCAUGGCUGUCGUCAGCUCGUGUCGUGAGAUGUUGGGUUAAGUCCCGCAACGAGCGUAACCCUUAUUUUUAGUUGCCAUCAUUCAGUUGGGCACUUUAAAAAGACUGCCGGUGAUAAACCGGAGGAAGGUGAGGACGACGUCAAGUCAGCAUGCCCCUUACGCCCUGGGCCACACACGUACUACAAUGGUCGAGACAAAGAGUUGCUAGUCUGUGAAGACACGCUAAUCUCAUAAACUCGAUCUCAGUUCGGAUUGCAGGCUGCAACUCGCCUGCAUGAAGGUGGAAUCGCUAGUAAUCGCCGGUCAGCUAUACGGCGGUGAAUCCGUUCCCGGGCCUUGUACACACCGCCCGUCACACCAUGGAAGCUAGCAACACCCAAAGUCGUUACCUUAACCGUUUGGAGGGGGGCGCCUAAGGUAGGGUUAGUGACUGGGGUGAAGUCGUAACAAGGUAGCCCUACUGGAAGGUGGGGCUGGAUCACCUCCU
rnacentral:rRNA from 1 species